ACAAGUGCACCUAGACGUUGCAACGCGAGCCGGCUGCAGACGGUCUGCACACUUUCUUUUCUCGAGGAUCAGUCGAUUGCUAUGACUCUGCGCGAGUGGUACGGGAAACGGGAGCUCCUAGUCACCGGAGUGACCAGCGACGUCGGCAGAGCCUUGCUCGAGAAACUGUUGCGCAGCUUUCCCGACGCGAUCGUCUACGUUGUGCUCAGAUCGAGGCAUGGAUUCAGCAAGGACGACAGGAUCAAGCAGAUCUUCGUGUCGCCUCGAUUCGAGAGGCUGCGGCAGACGGAUCCGGGCGCGAUCAACCGGGUGAAGCCGUUGGAGGGCAAUCUGCAGUACGACGGGCUGGGCAUGAGCAAGGAGGACAAGGAUCAGCUGAGCAAGGUGAGCGUGGCGUUUCACGCGGCGGGUCCGCACGACGCGAUGUUCGAGUACUGCCUGGAGCUGCCCAGGCUCGAGACGUUGGCCGCGGUGUCGAGCCUGUUCCGGCACAAGGGCCAGAUCAACGAGACAUUGCAGAACGAGCGGGUUCCCGACGGGCCGAUCGCGCUGGUCCGGAUGCCGCUGGUCGGCCCUGCUCUCCGCGAGCCCAUGCCCGGCUUCGUCGACGUCUUCAAAGGGCCGACAGCCUUCAUGGCGAGCGCGGGCCUCGCUCUCGGCGAGUCUGGCUUUCAAGCGGAAAUCAUUCCAAUCGACCUGACGGUCAACACACUCAUCGCCGUUGCUUGGGAACGAGCCACCGCGAAGGACAUGCAAGGGCCAGUGGUAUAUAAUGCAGUCUCGAUAGGAUGCACGUGGAACGAGCUGACUAAGAAAGGUAGCCGGGGCAACCGGAAGUUUACAUACCCGACAUUCGGGUUCCGUGGCAUGACGUCCUCGCCGAUCUUGCACUGGAUUCUGGUGGUGCUGUUUGAAUGGCUGCCGUCCCUGCUUAGCGACACGAUUCUCGGCCUCUGCGGAGCCAAGAAAAGGCUUCUACGUGAACACGAGAGAGUUCGUAAUGCACUUCGAUCCCUUGAGUCAAUUUCGUCGAGGCCGUGGUCAGCAGAGAGGAAUCGUGUGUACCUGCUGCAGCAACGUCUCGUCGAAGAAGACCAAGAUGCAUUUCCGGUUGCCACGGAAAUCGACAUAGAGAGUUACGUUCUCUGCACCGCCGCCGCCGCGAAGAAGCAUUGCGUCGACGAAACCAAUGUCUGGCUCGUAAAAAUCUUUCGACUACUUUUCCUGCUCGUGGCCGCGGCGGUCCUCUUCUCUUCGCUCUUCUUCUGCUAUAGACACCACUCGCCCAACGGGGACCACAUAGUCGGACUGUGACUGUGAAUAAUUUUCGGGCACUGGGGACACCGCGGGACGUCGCAUUUUCCGCAACCACAUGCCUAGUGCAGCAUAAAUAUGCUAGGAGUGCGGAGGCUCGACUCGUCCGUGUUUUGGAGGCUUCGGAAGGAGAAAGUCGAGUUAGGAGCGACAGAAGAGGGCACGCUCUAAGUGGAGGCACGUCAAGAUUGCGCAACAGUUAUCUUCGGGCUGCUGAAGCAUGCGAACCAACCAGGUAGAAGCGAGAACGAUGGGGUCGCGAUCUUGAGUGGCCAAUAUUUCCUGCAGUGUCGUAAAUGUCUUGCAUGAAAUGUGUGCAUCGGUGCUUCAAACGUUUUCAUAUGUCAUUUGCAACGUCGACCAUGCCGUAUUCUCGAAUAAUCGAUAAGAUAGCUCGUAAAAGACGGUUAAUACGUAUUCGAUACGUUACAGACCCUCUGCCGCGACGAUUUCAUAAUUAAUCACGACGAAAUGACAACAUUUUGUGUUGCAACGAGCGUACUCGUCAAAAACAGCU